CCUACGGGAGGCAGCAGUGGGGAAUCUUGCGCAAUGGGCGAAAGCCUGACGCAGCGACGCCGCGUGAGGGAUGAAGGUCUUCGGAUUGUAAACUCCUUUUGUUAGAGAAGAUAAUGACGGUAUCUAACGAAUCAGCACCGGCUAACACCGUGCCAGCAGCCGCGGUAAUACGGAGGGUGCAAGCGUUCCCUGGAAUCACUGGGCGUAAAGAGCGCGUAGGCGGGAUAGCAAGUCAGAUGUGAAAUCCUAUGGCUUAACCAUAGAACUGCAUUUGAAACUGGUAUUCUAGAGUAUGGGAGAGGAAGGUGGAAUUCUUGGUGUAGGGGUAAAAUGCGUAGAGA
rnacentral:rRNA from 1 species